CUCAAAAACGUCAUAGUAUAGCAUGUCGCUCAAAAAACGUCAUAGUAUAGUAUGUCACUCUAAAAACGUCAUAGUAUAGCAUGUCGCUCUAUAAACGUCAUAGUAUAGCCUUUGGUCCAAAAAACAUCAUAGUUUAGCAUGUCACUCAAAAACGUCAUAGUAUAGCAUGUCGCUCUAAAAACGUCAUAGUAUAGCAUGUCGCUCUAAAAACGUCAUAGUAUAGCAUGUCGCUCAAAAAAAGUCAUAGUAUAGUAUGUCACUCUAAAAACGUCAUAGUAUAGCCUUUUGUCCAACAAACGUCAGAGUAUAGCAUGUCGCCCAAAAAACGUCAUCGUAUAGCAUGUCGCUCUAAAAACAUCAUAGUAUAGCAUGUCGCUCUAAAAAUGUCAUUGUAUAGCAUGUAGCUCUAAAAACGUCAUAGUAUAGCCUUUGGUCCAAAAAACGUCAUAGUUUAGCAUGUCGCUCAAAAAACGUCAUUGUAUAGCAUGUCGCUCUAAAAACGUCAUAGUUUAGCCUUUUGUCCACAAAACAUUGUUUUGUCCUGACUGUCUGAAGUAGGUGAGGAGCAACACAAAAACAGUCCAAACGCUGGUUUCCAGAGGGUUAGACGAGUAUUUAUUUGAAAGAGUAAGUUUACAGUAACACAACAUGUGAAGGGGUUAAAAGCAAAUGGGUGUUAGUAAAAUAAAAAUAAAUCAACAGAACUAAAAGUGAACUCCACGUUGACACUGAUGGGCAUUCCAACCAGGAACAAAGUAAAAGAUAAUCAAUAGGAAAAAAAACUCUUCCUGUUCACCUCUUAAAACCCAAAAACUCACCGCAGUAGCAGCCUAAACUAAAACUACCAAUGGGUUCCCUGUUUUCCUUUCUGAACAAUUCAAAGGUCCCUCUCUAUCUCCCCACACAUCCACCAACCACUGGAACACAUCUCCAAAGUUCUGCUGGACCAGCUCAGCUUCCCCUCAGAAGAAGUGGCGCCACCUGCCAGAUGAAGGAGCCUUUUGAGAGGCAGCUGGCAUCGUGAUUGGACUGUACUUUGGUCUGUUCCAGUCCAGCUUCAGCUCCAGAGACGGCAGGCGGGACGAGUCAACGGAGGCCUGGUGGAUGAAGGCAUGCAGCUGAGUACAAUCCAGAAAACAACAGAGGAGGAGUGCAGCAGCCCAGAGCCAGAACAACCAGAGUAGCAUCACCAAAGAACUACAGACUCUUCACAACCUGCUCAAACUCUUGGUACAGGACCUCACCACACGGGUCAAGAAGGUUUCUGUCUCAUUUCUACUCUGAAGCUCACCUUCUCCUGCUCAAACUGCUGACAAAUGUUUCUGCUGCUCUAAAGUCUGGUCUCCAGAACUUCCUAAAAACUCUCAAAGUCUCUUCUGCUGCAGGUUGCUUUGUAGAACUGUUCCAGAAAACCUCACUAAACCACAUGGAGGGGCCUCAAGAUAGUCGUCCAAAUGAAACCGUACAAAAACCAAACUAGUACAACCCAAAGGCUAAAGUCUCCUGCAGCCUACCAGAGAACCUCUGAGAACAGAGAAUCAGGACAGGAACUCUUACCUUCUGGACAACCAACGCUGGUUCACAAGAACACAGAAUGUGUCUGACCAAAAACCUCUAAAGACUCACUACAGCCAAGAUAAAGACACAACUCAGCUGUACCAAAUCCACUAAUCACUGCACACAUUAGCACCAUGUGCUAACUGUGGCUAAAGAACCACAUUUACCAAGACAACUAUCCAGUACAAAGCCCUAAAACACACCAAGAAACACAUUAAAGACAAUUUUACUGCUGGAAGCUGCAAGCCAACACCUAAAGAACAAACUAAAGCAAUGGAGCCAAACCCGGUUCAGUGGUGAACAGAAACAGAGGAAAUGUUUGUCUGCUGCCAGAUAAAGCAGGAAGACACUGAGCUGCUCAGGUGUUCCUGAUAACACCAAGCAGCCACCUGGACAGCCAAUAGGAACACAGCUUCCUGGAAGUCCAGAGGGCUGGGUUAGUCAAGGAAAUUUAAAGUUGAGGCAGAAAGUUAACAAAGAAAGUUGAAAACCACCUUCUGAUCCCUGAAAUCUCUGAGUUUUCACACAAAGAACACCUGAACAUGUCAAACUGGUUCCAUAGUAGAACCAUCAUUGUAAAAACGUCAUAGUAUGGUAUGUUGCUCAAAAAACAUUAGGACCCGCUGUCUAGGGUCGCUGAUGAGCAACACAAAAACAGGACAAAUGCUGGUUUCCAGGGGGUUAGGAGGCUAUUUAUUUGAAAGAGGAAGUUUACAACAACACAACACGAGAGCAGAAAAAUCACAAAGUCUGUCUUUAGUUCAGCUGAAAAUAUUAGUUUUUGUCUUUUUUAUUGACCAAACUUUUCAGGAAGUAGAUGAAGAAUAAUUAAAGCUCUCAUGUAGAAGUCCAACUUAUUUUGGAUCCUUGUGGAGAGUUUAAUCUUAGAGUUUGUAAAGGUGUUGAGUUUUUAGAGUCACAUGGAUUGUUUUGAAAUUUAAUAACUGAGUCCUGAAAUAAAAUGACAGUUGUGGAUUUCUGUCAUUUAGUCUGUCAUUUAGGUUUUCUUUGAAAAAAAAAUCAUGAAUUUUGGCGCAAAAAAACGCCAUAGUAUACUAUGUCGAAAAAAACCCGCGAUUUUUCAACAUGUUGUAAAAAUGUGCCAUAUGAUGAAAUAGUGUAAAGUGGGCUGUGAAAAACACUCCAGAAAGGUUUUCUUUGAAGAAAAAAUCAUCAUGAAUUUUGGCGCAAAAAAACGCCAUAGUAUACUGUCGAAAAAAAAAUGUAAUUUUUCAACAUGUUGUAAAAACGUGCCAUAUGAUGAAAUAAUGUAAAGGAGGCCGUGAAAAACACUCCAGAAAGGUUUUCUUUGAAAAAAACUUUCAGACAGUCCAAGGACUGAUAUCUUUGAAGUUCCUGAGUAGUUCUCUGUUAGUUUGAACCUUUAGACAGUCUGAGGACUGAAGUUUUAAAAGUUUCUCAGUACUUCUCUGUUAGUUUGAACCUUCAGACAGUCUGAGGACUGAAGUUUUAAAAGUUUCUCAGUACUUCUCUGUUUGUUUGAACUUUCUGGUUAACAGAAGCCUUAAAACUUGUGACCAUGAGUCUUGAUUUCACAUUUAGACCAUCCAUCUGAGUUCUUCUCAGACCUUCACCUGUGGGUUUUUUAGAAAUCCUCAACAAACUUUGAUUCUCUUCAAUGAACAGUAAAGUUUGUGGAGAUCAGAAGGUAACAUUAGUUUGAUCGAUGCCUUCAACUACUAGUAGACUUUAUCUGGAAAGCAGUUUUCUGAAAUGAGUUCUUAGUAAAUCUGUCCACAAUCAAACCAAGAACAUAGAAAGAGGAAAUGUUUGAAGAAAUAACUCGAUGUUUCAUUUCAGACUAGAAAACGCUUUAAGAACUUUAUCUGUUUUUGCUCUUUUUGAUCAUUUUAU
ensembl:lncRNA